AUUGAACGCUGGCGGCAGGCCUAACACAUGCAAGUCGAACGGUAGCACAGAGAGCUUGCUCUCGGGUGACGAGUGGCGGACGGGUGAGUAACGUCUGGGAAACUGCCCGAUGGAGGGGGAUAACUACUGGAAACGGUAGCUAAUACCGCAUAACGGCGCAAGACCAAAGUGGGGGACCUUAGGGCCUCACACCAUCGGAUGUGCCCAGAUGGGAUUAGGUAGUAGGUGGGGUAAUGGCUCACCUAGGCGCCGAUCCCUAGCUGGUCUGAGAGGAUGACCAGCCACACUGGAACUGAGACACGGUCCAGACUCCUACGGGAGGCAGCAGUGGGGAAUAUUGCACAAUGGGCGCAAGCCUGAUGCAGCCAUGCCGCGUGUAUGAAGAAGGCCUUCGGGUUGUAAAGUACUUUCAGCGGGGAGGAAGGUGGUGAAGUUAAUAACUUCACCGAUUGACGUUACCCGCAGAAGAAGCACCGGCUAACUCCGUGCCAGCAGCCGCGGUAA
rnacentral:rRNA from 1 species